rnacentral:rRNA from 1 species
GGGUUGUGAGGUUAAGCGACUAAGCGUACACGGUGGAUGCCCUGGCAGUCAGAGGCGAUGAAGGACGUGCUAAUCUGCGAUAAGCGUCGGUAAGGUGAUAUGAACCGUUAUAACCGGCGAUUUCCGAAUGGGGAAACCCAGUGUGUUUCGACACACUAUCAUUAACUGAAUCCAUAGGUUAAUGAGGCGAACCGGGGGAACUGAAACAUCUAAGUACCCCGAGGAAAAGAAAUCAACCGAGAUUCCCCCAGUAGCGGCGAGCGAACGGGGAGCAGCCCAGAGCCUGAAUCAGUGUGUGUGUUAGUGGAAGCGUCUGGAAAGGCGCGCGAUACAGGGUGACAGCCCCGUACACAAAAAUGCACAUGCUGUGAGCUCGAUGAGUAGGGCGGGACACGUGGUAUCCUGUCUGAAUAUGGGGGGACCAUCCUCCAAGGCUAAAUACUCCUGACUGACCGAUAGUGAACCAGUACCGUGAGGGAAAGGCGAAAAGAACCCCGGCGAGGGGAGUGAAAAAGAACCUGAAACCGUGUACGUACAAGCAGUGGGAGCACAGAGCAAUCUGUGUGACUGCGUACCUUUUGUAUAAUGGGUCAGCGACUUAUAUUCUGUAGCAAGGUUAACCGAAUAGGGGAGCCGAAGGGAAACCGAGUCUUAACUGGGCGUUAAGUUGCAGGGUAUAGACCCGAAACCCGGUGAUCUAGCCAUGGGCAGGUUGAAGGUUGGGUAACACUAACUGGAGGACCGAACCGACUAAUGUUGAAAAAUUAGCGGAUGACUUGUGGCUGGGGGUGAAAGGCCAAUCAAACCGGGAGAUAGCUGGUUCUCCCCGAAAGCUAUUUAGGUAGCGCCUCGUGAAUUCAUCUCCGGGGGUAGAGCACUGUUUCGGCAAGGGGGUCAUCCCGACUUACCAACCCGAUGCAAACUGCGAAUACCGGAGAAUGUUAUCACGGGAGACACACGGCGGGUGCUAACGUCCGUCGUGAAGAGGGAAACAACCCAGACCGCCAGCUAAGGUCCCAAAGUCAUGGUUAAGUGGGAAACGAUGUGGGAAGGCCCAGACAGCCAGGAUGUUGGCUUAGAAGCAGCCAUCAUUUAAAGAAAGCGUAAUAGCUCACUGGUCGAGUCGGCCUGCGCGGAAGAUGUAACGGGGCUAAACCAUGCACCGAAGCUGCGGCAGCGACGCUUAUGCGUUGUUGGGUAGGGGAGCGUUCUGUAAGCCUGCGAAGGUGUGCUGUGAGGCAUGCUGGAGGUAUCAGAAGUGCGAAUGCUGACAUAAGUAACGAUAAAGCGGGUGAAAAGCCCGCUCGCCGGAAGACCAAGGGUUCCUGUCCAACGUUAAUCGGGGCAGGGUGAGUCGACCCCUAAGGCGAGGCCGAAAGGCGUAGUCGAUGGGAAACAGGUUAAUAUUCCUGUACUUGGUGUUACUGCGAAGGGGGGACGGAGAAGGCUAUGUUGGCCGGGCGACGGUUGUCCCGGUUUAAGCGUGUAGGCUGGUUUUCCAGGCAAAUCCGGAAAAUCAAGGCUGAGGCGUGAUGACGAGGCACUACGGUGCUGAAGCAACAAAUGCCCUGCUUCCAGGAAAAGCCUCUAAGCAUCAGGUAACAUCAAAUCGUACCCCAAACCGACACAGGUGGUCAGGUAGAGAAUACCAAGGCGCUUGAGAGAACUCGGGUGAAGGAACUAGGCAAAAUGGUGCCGUAACUUCGGGAGAAGGCACGCUGAUAUGUAGGUGAAGUCCCUCGCGGAUGGAGCUGAAAUCAGUCGAAGAUACCAGCUGGCUGCAACUGUUUAUUAAAAACACAGCACUGUGCAAACACGAAAGUGGACGUAUACGGUGUGACGCCUGCCCGGUGCCGGAAGGUUAAUUGAUGGGGUUAGCGCAAGCGAAGCUCUUGAUCGAAGCCCCGGUAAACGGCGGCCGUAACUAUAACGGUCCUAAGGUAGCGAAAUUCCUUGUCGGGUAAGUUCCGACCUGCACGAAUGGCGUAAUGAUGGCCAGGCUGUCUCCACCCGAGACUCAGUGAAAUUGAACUCGCUGUGAAGAUGCAGUGUACCCGCGGCAAGACGGAAAGACCCCGUGAACCUUUACUAUAGCUUGACACUGAACAUUGAGCCUUGAUGUGUAGGAUAGGUGGGAGGCUUUGAAGUGUGGACGCCAGUCUGCAUGGAGCCGACCUUGAAAUACCACCCUUUAAUGUUUGAUGUUCUAACGUGGACCCGUAAUCCGGGUUGCGGACAGUGUCUGGUGGGUAGUUUGACUGGGGCGGUCUCCUCCUAAAGAGUAACGGAGGAGCACGAAGGUUGGCUAAUCCUGGUCGGACAUCAGGAGGUUAGUGCAAUGGCAUAAGCCAGCUUGACUGCGAGCGUGACGGCGCGAGCAGGUGCGAAAGCAGGUCAUAGUGAUCCGGUGGUUCUGAAUGGAAGGGCCAUCGCUCAACGGAUAAAAGGUACUCCGGGGAUAACAGGCUGAUACCGCCCAAGAGUUCAUAUCGACGGCGGUGUUUGGCACCUCGAUGUCGGCUCAUCACAUCCUGGGGCUGAAGUAGGUCCCAAGGGUAUGGCUGUUCGCCAUUUAAAGUGGUACGCGAGCUGGGUUUAGAACGUCGUGAGACAGUUCGGUCCCUAUCUGCCGUGGGCGCUGGAGAAUUGAGGGGGGCUGCUCCUAGUACGAGAGGACCGGAGUGGACGCAUCACUGGUGUUCGGGUUGUCAUGCCAAUGGCACUGCCCGGUAGCUAAAUGCGGAAGAGAUAAGUGCUGAAAGCAUCUAAGCACGAAACUUGCCCCGAGAUGAGUUCUCCCUGACUCCUUGAGAGUCCUGAAGGAACGUUGAAGACGACGACGUUGAUAGGCCGGGUGUGUAAGCGCAGCGAUGCGUUGAGCUAACCGGUACUAAUGAACCGUGAGGCUUAACCUUACAACGCCGAAGCUGUU